UAAUACGAAGGGGGCUAGCGUUGUUCGGAAUCACUGGGCGUAAAGGGCGCGUAGGCGGCUUUAUAAGUCGGGGGUGAAAGCCUGUGGCUCAACCACAGAAUUGCCUUCGAUACUGUAUGGCUUGAGACCGGAAGAGGUUAGUGGAACUGCGAGUGUAGAGGUGAAAUUCGUAGAUAUUCGCAAGAACACCAGUGGCGAAGGCGGCUGACUGGUCCGGUUCUGACGCUGAGGCGCGAAAGCGUGGGGAGCAAACAGG
rnacentral:rRNA from 1 species